rnacentral:misc_RNA from 1 species
GUGGCCACAGGCAUGAAGCUGUUGCAAUGGGUUUGGAACACUAGAACUUCAUCCAGAUAUCAGGUGCACUCUCUGUCUCUCUUUCCCUCCCUCUCUCUAAUUAUUUCUAAAUUUAUGUGGAUUUCUUUUUCUAUACACAAGACAGUACAAUCCAGUUUGGUAUGAGUGCCUUAAAUCAUCAGUUAGUGAUUCAAUAUUAUAAUUGCAACACUGCCAACUUUCAACCACCAACA